rnacentral:rRNA from 1 species
AGAGUUUGAUCCUGGCUCAGGAUGAACGCUAGCGGCAGGCUUAACACAUGCAAGUCGAGGGGUAACGGGGUGCUUGCACCGCCGACGACCGGCGCACGGGUGCGUAACGCGUAUACAAUCUACCUUGUAGAGGGGAAUAGCCCAGAGAAAUUUGGAUUAAUGCCCCAUAGUAUUAUUAGAUAGCAUUAUUUGAUAAUUAAACAUUUAUGGCUACAAGAUGAGUAUGCGUUCUAUUAGUUAGUAGGUAAGGUAACGGCUUACCUAGACUUCGAUAGAUAGGGGUCCUGAGAGGGAGAUCCCCCACACUGGUACUGAGACACGGACCAGACUCCUACGGGAGGCAGCAGUGAGGAAUAUUGGACAAUGGGCGAGAGCCUGAUCCAGCCAUGCCGCGUGCAGGAAGACGGCCCUAUGGGUUGUAAACUGCUUUUAUAGAGGAAGAAACACCCCGACGUGUCGGGACUUGACGGUACUCUACGAAUAAGGAUCGGCUAACUCCGUGCCAGCAGCCGCGGUAAUACGGAGGAUCCAAGCGUUAUCCGGAAUCAUUGGGUUUAAAGGGUCCGUAGGCGGGACAAUCAGUCAGCGGUGAAAGUCUGUGGCUCAACCAUAGAAUUGCCAUUGAUACUGUUGUUCUUGAAUACUUAUGAAGUGGUUGGAAUAUGUAGUGUAGCGGUGAAAUGCAUAGAUAUUACAUAGAACACCGAUUGCGAAGGCAGAUCACUAAUAAGUCAUUGACGCUGAUGGACGAAAGCGUAGGUAGCGAACAGGAUUAGAUACCCUGGUAGUCUACGCCGUAAACGAUGGUUACUAGCUGUUCGGUCGCAAGACCUGAGUGGCUAAGCGAAAGUGAUAAGUACCCCCCUG